rnacentral:ncRNA from 3 species
UGGGUUCCUGGCAUGCUGAUU